UACACUCCUGCGGGAGGCAGCAGUGGGGAAUUUUGGACAAUGGGCGAAAGCCUGAUCCAGCAAUGCCGCGUGAGUGAAGAAGGCCUUCGGGUUGUAAAGCUCUUUUGUCAGGGAAGAAACGGUGAGAGCUAAUAUCUUUUGCUAAUGACGGUACCUGAAGAAUAAGCACCGGCUAACUACGUGCCAGCAGCCGCGGUAAUACGUAGGGUGCAAGCGUUAAUCGGAAUUACUGGGCGUAAAGCGUGCGCAGGCGGUUUUGUAAGUCUGAUGUGAAAUCCCCGGGCUCAACCUGGGAAUUGCAUUGGAGACUGCAAGGCUAGAAUCUGGCAGAGGGGGGUAGAAUUCCACGUGUAGCAGUGAAAUGCGUAGAUAUGUGGAGGAACACCGAUGGCGAAGGCAGCCCCCUGGGUCAAGAUUGACGCUCAUGCACGAAAGCGUGGGGAGCAAACAGGAUUAGAUACCCGUGUAGUCCC
rnacentral:rRNA from 1 species